UAUUGGUCAAUAGCCUAACCGGCUGAACCAGCAACUUGGAGGAAUGGAUAGGGAAAGCCGGUAAAAGGCAAUGUACCUAGUAGUAUUAGAAAUGAAUAUGAGAUUAACAAAGUUAAUUAAAAUUCUAAGUAGAUAAGUGAUUAUGACAAUAUCUGCUGAUGUCUUGACCAAGUCACGUGCCAGCAGUCGCGGUAAUACGGAAGACAAGUGUUAUUCAUCUUUAAUAGGUUUAAAGGGUACCUAGACGGUUAAUUAAGCAANNNNNUGUACUAAUUUUUAACUAGAGUUUAAUGUAGGAAGGGUCAGUACGAUGCGGUGUAGAGAUAAAAUUCUUUGAUACUCAUGGGGACUGGUAAAGGCGCAGGCAACCUUUUAUGUAAAAACUGACGUUAAGGGACGAAGGCUCAAGGAGAAAAAAGAGGAUUAGAUACCCUCGUAUAGUGGGCAGACAAUGAUGAGUGUCAUACGUAAGUUUUGUGUAUAAAUGAAAGUGUAAGCACUCCACCUCAAGAGUAACGUGGCAACAUGGGAACUGAAAUCAUUAGGCCGUUUCUGAAACCCGUAGUGAAGUAUGUUGUUUAAUUUGUAGGUACGCAAAUAACCUUACCACAAUUUGUAUAGCUUGUACAAGCGUUGCAUGGCUGUUUUUAGUCAAUGUUGUGAAACUUUGGUUAGGUCCAUUAAAUUGAUGUAAGCCCUUGCUUUAUUUAAUAAAAAGCAGUUCGCCACUGUACUGGUAGCGAUAUAAGGGACUAAGAC
rnacentral:rRNA from 1 species